rnacentral:rRNA from 1 species
UACGAAGGGGGCUAGCGUUGCUCGGAAUCACUGGGCGUAAAGCGCACGUAGGCGGUUUCUUAAGUCAGGGGUGAAAUCCUGGAGCUCAACUCCAGAACUGCCUUUGAUACUGGGAGACUUCGAGUCCGGGAGAGGUGAGUGGAACUGCGAGUGUAGAGGUGAAAUUCGUAGAUAUUCGCAAGAACACCAGUGGCGAAGGCGGCUCACUGGCCCGGUACUGACGCUGAGGUGCGAAAGCGUGGGGAG